UACGGAGGGUGCGAGCGUUGUCCGGAAUCACUGGGCGUAAAGGGCGCGUAGGCGGCUCAUGAAGGCUGUGGUGAAAGUCCGGGGCUCAACCUCGGAUCGGCCGUGGCGACUCGUGGGCUGGAGCACUGUAGAGGCGGGUGGAAUUCCGGGUGUAGCGAUGGAUGACGUAGAGAUCCGGAAGAACACCAGUGGCGAAGGCGGCCCGCGUGGGCAGCUGGCUGACGCUGAAGCGCGACAGCGUGGGGAGCAAACAGG
rnacentral:rRNA from 1 species